rnacentral:rRNA from 1 species
CCUACGGGAGGCAGCAGUGAGGAAUAUUGGUCAAUGGGCGCGAGCCUGAACCAGCCAAGUAGCGUGAAGGAUGACUGUCCUACGGGUUGUAAACCUCUGUUCUCGGGGAACAAGAACUGACGGUACCCAAGGAGGAAGCCCUGGCUAACUACGUGCCAGCAGCCGCGGUAAUACGUAGGGGGCAAGUGUUAUCCGGAAUUAUUGGGCGUAAAGAGUUCGUAGGUGGUAAACUAAGCGUAGGGUUUAAGGGAAUGGCUCAACCAUUGUUCGCCCUGCGAACUGGGAUGCUUGAGUGCAGGAGAGGAAAGCGGAAUGCGUGGUGUAGCGGUGAAAUGCAUAGAUAUUAGGAAGAACUCCGGUGGCGAAGGCAGCUUUCUGGACUGUAACUGACGCUGAGGUACGAAAGCGUGGGGAGCGAACAGGAUUAGAUACCCUGGUAGUC